GGCGGGGAUUAGUGGCGAACGGGUGAGUAACACGUGGGCAAUCUGCCCUGCACUCUGGGACAAGCCCUGGAAACGGGGUCUAAUACCGGAUAUGACCGUCCGCCGCAUGGUGGAUGGUGUAAAGCUCCGGCGGUGCAGGAUGAGCCCGCGGCCUAUCAGCUUGUUGGUGAGGUAGUGGCUCACCAAGGCGACGACGGGUAGCCGGCCUGAGAGGGCGACCGGCCACACUGGGACUGAGACACGGCCCAGACUCCUACGGGAGGCAGCAGUGGGGAAUAUUGCACAAUGGGCGAAAGCCUGAUGCAGCGACGCCGCGUGAGGGAUGACGGCCUUCGGGUUGUAAACCUCUUUCAGCAGGGAAGAAGCGAAAGUGACGGUACCUGCAGAAGAAGCGCCGGCUAACUACGUGCCAGCAGCCGCGGUAAUACGUAGGGCGCAAGCGUUGUCCGGAAUUAUUGGGCGUAAAGAGCUCGUAGGCGGCUUGUCACGUCGGUUGUGAAAGCCCGGGGCUUAACCCCGGGUCUGCAGUCGAUACGGGCAGGCUAGAGUUCGGUAGGGGAGAUCGGAAUUCCUGGUGUAGCGGUGAAAUGCGCAGAUAUCAGGAGGAACACCGGUGGCGAAGGCGGAUCUCUGGGCCGAUACUGACGCUG
rnacentral:rRNA from 1 species